rnacentral:rRNA from 1 species
AUGAACGCUGGCGGCGUGCCUAAUACAUGCCAGUCGAGCGAACAGACGAGGAGCUUGCUCCUCUGACGUUAGCGGCGGACGGGUGAGUAACACGUGGAUAACCUACCUAUAAGACUGGGAUAACUUCGGGAAACCGGAGCUAAUACCGGAUAAUAUAUUGAACCGCAUGGUUCAAUAGUGAAAGACGGUUUUGCUGUCACUUAUAGAUGGAUCCGCGCCGCAUUAGCUAGUUGGUAAGGUAACGGCUUACCAAGGCAACGAUGCGUAGCCGACCUGAGAGGGUGAGCGGCCACCCUGGAACGGAGACACGGUCCAGACUCCUACGGGAGGCAGCAGUAGGGAAUCUUCCGCAAUGGGCGAAAGCCUGACGGAGCAACGCCGCGUGAGUGAUGAAGGUCUUCGGAUCGUAAAACUCUGUUAUUAGGGAAGAACAAAUGUGUAAGUAACUAUGCACGUCUUGACGGUACCUAAUCAGAAAGCCACGGCUAACUACGUG